rnacentral:misc_RNA from 1 species
AACGCACAUUGCGCCCGCUAGUACUCUAGCGGGCAUGCCUGUUCGAGCGUCAUUUCAACCCUCAAGCCCUGCUUGGUGUUGGGGCCCCACGGCUGCCGUGGGCCCUGAAAGGAAGUGGCGGGCUCGCUACAACUCCGAGCGUAGUAAUUCAUUAUCUCGCUUAGGGCGUUGUGCGGUGCUCCUGCCGUUAAAGCACCCCUUUAACUCAAGGUUGACCUCGGAUCAGGUAGGAAUACCCGCUGAACUUAA